UACGGAGGGUGCAAACGUUGCUCGGAAUCAUUGGGCGUAAAGCGCACGUAGGCGGACCGCUAAGUCGGAUGUGAAAGCCCUCGGCUUAACCGAGGAAGUGCAUUCGAAACUGACGGUCUUGAGUAUGGAAGAGGGUCGCGGAAUUCCCGGUGUAGAGGUGAAAUUCGUAGAUAUUGGGAAGAACACCAGUGGCGAAGGCGGCUAACUGGUCCAGAUCGUGACGCUGAGGUGGCGAAAGCGUGGGGAGCAACAGG
rnacentral:rRNA from 1 species